CAGUCGCCGCGGUAAUACGUAGGUGGCAAGCGUUGUCCGGAAUUAUUGGGCGUAAAGGGCUCGCAGGCGGUUUCUUAAGUCUGAUGUGAAAGCCCCCGGCUCAACCGGGGAGGGUCAUUGGAAACUGGGAAACUUGAGUGCAGAAGAGGAGAGUGGAAUUCCACGUGUAGCGGUGAAAUGCGUAGAGAUGUGGAGGAGCACCAGUGGCGAAGGCGACUCUCUGGUCUGUAACUGACGCUGAGGAGCGAAAGCGUGGGGAGCGAACAGGAUUAGAUACCCCCGUAGUCCCUGUCUCUUAUAC
rnacentral:rRNA from 1 species